CUUCUCACUCUAUUUAUAGGCUUCAAAACUCACCAUCUUCCUUCUCUAUUUUUUCAUAAAGGUACUUCGAGCACUGGAUCUGAUGCCUUCUUCAAACCACCUCUCGGAGGAAGAGGAGGAAGAGAUAGAUUCGGACGAUGAAUUUUAUCAAGACGGUUACCAUACUAUCACUAAGAAAGAAGGGAGGGAGUAUUUUCGUGCAGUUGAAGAAUCGUUGAAGAAUCGGAGGGUUUUGAUGUACCAGAUUUUGACAAAGUCCUUUCAUGUAGUCUCAUCAUUCCAAUAGAUAUGCAUGAGAACUCGUGGAUGCUUAAAGAGGUUCGAAUCUCAGCAAAUAAAGCUAUCGAACAUUACAACAAGGAAAAUGGAACUAAUUUUGAAGUU